rnacentral:rRNA from 1 species
GUGGGGAAUAUUGGACAAUGGGCGCAAGCCUGAUCCAGCCAUGCCGCGUGAGUGAUGAAGGCCUUAGGGUUGUAAAGCUCUUUCAGUGGGGACGAUAAUGACGGUACCCACAGAAGAAGCCCCGGCUAACUUCGUGCCAGCAGCCGCGGUAAUACGAAGGGGGCUAGCGUUGUUCGGAUUUACUGGGCGUAAAGCGCACGUAGGCGGAUCGUUAAGUCGGGGGUGAAAUCCUGGAGCUCAACUCCAGAACUGCCUUCGAUACUGGCGAUCUUGAGUCCGGAAGAGGUGAGUGGAACUCCUAGUGUAGAGGUGGAAUUCGUAGAUAUUAGGAAGAACACCAGUGGCGAAGGCGGCUCACUGGUCCGGUACUGACGCUGAGGUGCGAAAGCGUGGGGAGCAAACAGGAUUAGAAACACUAGUAGUCC